rnacentral:sRNA from 2 species
AAUAAAGCUUGUUAGGUGAGGUUACUGGUUGAACAGAGGCUGCUGCCCGGAAAUGUCGAAAGACACCAAUGGGUAGAGCAGGCGUAGUCGGAUUAAGGCUUCGCAUAAGGCAGCUUUCCGGAAUCCGGAAUAAGUCAACCUGAACUAAAACUCUACGAGGAGCUUCAUG